CGUCAACUCCAAUCUAUAUAAAUGCUUUGAAUAUCAAAGUGAUCAUCACUCAAUAGUAUUAAGAUGACGGGCUCUAUACUCUCCUCCAUCAUUUUCUUCCUUCUUUUUAUCGGACUUUCACAUUUUGUUGAUGCUCAUAUGGAACACCGUAAAUUAAGUGGAGCAAAAGACACAAUAUCCAUGAGGAGGAACUUGGAAGGAAAUGGGGGCUCCAAAAUUAAAGCUUCACCGAGCUGGUCGCGACGCAGUGGACAAAAAAACACUCAACAUGAGCCGUCCAAAACCCGUCCUGAUCAAGCGACGCACCAAGGGCGAGGAAAUUAUAUAUCUUAUGCGGGCCUUAAAAAUCAGACGACGACAAGCAAAUGCACCAUUUACGAAAGAUGUAAGCGUGAAGUAAGGCCCUAGCUAAGGCACACCCCGGACUAGUCAAUGAACUUGGUUAUUACUUUGGUUUGUACGUUGUUAUGAGCUUUCUAUUUCCGUUGUGUUUCAUUAUUAACUGUCUUUUUACUGAUGGAAUAAGCAAUUCUUGGAAACUA